AGAAAAGCCUUUCACGAGCAGAUUUUAGAUAUUAUGGACAAUAUUUAUCAGAUAAUGAAUUAUUUUUGGCUUGCUUUGCAAGAUUAAUUUUAUCGAAAACUGAUUGCCACAUUUAUAUCAUAAAAUUUAUGGGAUCGCUUUAUUCAUACCUAACUUAUCAUAUGAUGAAAGGAGUGUUUCAUUCAACCCCAAUUAUGAUCAGAAAAGAACCGAUGACGCGUACACAACAUGUAGGAGUUUACCAAAUUCAGAACCAUGUUAAUCUACCAGUGUUUUUAGCAAAGCUAAAAAACCCCAAAUAUAUUUUUUUCGCACUUCUUACCUUUUUUUUUAUAUAAGUCACAUUUGACUUCUUGUUACAAAAUGUAAUCAUUCAAAUUCAAAUUUUCAUUUUUUUAUAUGACACCUCUAAGGCCAAGUUAAGAUUUGUAAAAUAAAUUUUUUUAAAAAAAAUAAUAUAGAUAAUGAAUUUAUAAGUUUACAAUCUAUUUUAAAACAACCAGUUAUAUAUUUUUUAUAUAUAGAUGCAAAUUAAAUAUUUUUCUUUGUUUUUUAUAUAUAAAAGAAUUUAUAAAAUGUAUUAAAAUCAG